rnacentral:misc_RNA from 1 species
UUUCCGUAGGUGAACCUGCGGAAGGAUCAUUAUUGAAAAAGACAAGACGCCCCGUUUUUUCGUAAAAUGGGUUCAAUACCCACAACCGUGUAUACCUUACCUUUUGUUGCUUUGGCAGGCCGCCUCCGGGCGUCGGCUUCGGCUGACAGCGCCUGCCAGAGGACCCAAACUCUGUGUUUAGUGAUGUCUGAGUAAUAUAUAAUAUUUUAAAACUUUCAACAACGGAUCUCUUGGUUCUG